rnacentral:tRNA from 1 species
UCCCAGGUGGCUCAGUGGUUAAAGAAUCCACUUGCAAUGCAGGAGACACAGGUUCAAUCCCUGGCUUGGGAA